rnacentral:rRNA from 1 species
AGCUCCACGAGCGUAUAUUAAAGUUGUUGCAGUUAAAAAGCUCGUAGUUGGAUUUCUGGUCUAGGGUAGCCGACCCGCUAUUGCCUCACAUGAGGUAUGCGAGAGUUGGCAGCCCUUGCCAUCCUUCCGAAGAACGCAGCUACUCUUCAUUGAGCAGGCCGCGCGAUUUGGAUCUUUUACUUUGAAGAAAUUAGAGUGUUCAAAGCAGGCUCGCGCUGUUGAAUACAUUAGCAUGGAAUAAUAAUUUAGGACUUGGGUUCUAUUUUGUUGGUUUCUAGAACUGAAGUAAUGAUUGAUAGGGAUAGUUGGGGGUGCUCGUAUUUAGCGGCCAGAGGUGAAAUUCUCAGAUUCGCUAAAGACGAACUUAUGCGAAAGCAUUCACCAAGGAUGUCUUCUUUAA